rnacentral:rRNA from 1 species
AUUGAACGCUGGCGGCAGGCCUAACACAUGCAAGUCGAACGAGUGGCGGACGGGUGAGUAAUGUCUGGGAAACUGCCCGAUGGAGGGGGAUAACUACUGGAAACGGUAGCUAAUACCGCAUACCAUCGGAUGUGCCCAGAUGGGAUUAGCUAGUAGGUGGGGUAACGGCUCACCUAGGCGACGAUCCCUAGCUGGUCUGAGAGGAUGACCAGCCACACUGGAACUGAGACACGGUCAAGACUCCUGCGGGAGGAAGCAGUGGGGAAUAUUGCACAAGGGGCGAAAGCCUGAGGAAGCAAUGCCGCGUGUAUGAAGAAGGCCUUGGGGUUGUAAAGUACUUUCAGCGAGGCGGCGUUACGCGAAGAAGAAGCACCGGCUAACUCCGUGCCAGAAGCCGCGGUAAUUC